rnacentral:lncRNA from 1 species
UACUCUGAAAUUUUCCUAUAAAUUUGGGGAAAAAUUUACAGCGCCUGAGCAGAAGAGAGAUGUAAAUCAUGAACCUGUUACCGCUUAUCCUGCUCAAAUGCAUCCUGGUAUGGCUUAUAAUCAGCAAAAUUCGGGAUACGGAUAUCCACCUCCGGCUCAUCAAGGUGGGUACGCAUACCCAUCCCAAGCUGGUGCACCGGGUUAUGGAUAUCCGCCACCACAACCUGGGUACGGGUAUCCGCCACCACAACCUGGGUACGGAUAUCCACCGGUGCAACCGCCACCGCCAAAGAGGAAGAACAAGAUGGGAGGUGGAUUAGGGUUAGGGUUGGGUGCAGGAUUGCUUGGUGGUUUGUUGGUGGGAGAUAUGAUAUCUGACGUCGGAGAGAUGUCUUCUUAUGGUGAUGGGUAUGGAGAUGCUAUGGAUGAUAUGGGUGGU